rnacentral:rRNA from 1 species
GACGAACGCUGGCGGCGCGCCUAACACAUGCAAGUCGAACGAGAGAUGAGGAGCUUGCUCUUCAAAUCGAGUGGCGAACGGGUGAGUAACGCGUGAGGAACCUGCCUCAAAGAGGGGGACAACAGUUGGAAACGACUGCUAAUACCGCAUAAGCCCACGGCUCGGCAUCGAGCAGAGGGAAAAGGAGCAAUCCGCUUUGAGAUGGCCUCGCGUCCGAUUAGCUAGUUGGUGAGGUAAUGGCCCACCAAGGCGGCGAUCGGUAGCCGGACUGAGAGGUUGAACGGCCACAUUGGGACUGAGACACGGCCCAGACUCCUACGGGAGGCAGCAGUGGGGAAUAUUGCACAAUGGGGGAAACCCUGAUGCAGCGACGCCGCGUGGAGGAAGAAGGUCUUCGGAUUGUAAACUCCUGUUGUUGAGGAAGAUAAUGACGGUACUCAACAAGGAAGUGACGGCUAACUACGUGCCAGCAGCCGCGGUAAAACGUAGGUCACAAGCGUUGUCCGGAAUUACUGGGUGUAAAGGGAGCGCAGGCGGGAGAACAAGUUGGAAGUGAAAUCCAUGGGCUCAACCCAUGAACUGCUUUCAAAACUGUUUUUCUUGAGUAGUGCAGAGGUAGGCGGAAUUCCCGGUGUAGCGGUGGAAUGCGUAGAUAUCGGGAGGAACACCAGUGGCGAAGGCGGCCUACUGGGCACCAACUGACGCUGAGGCUCGAAAGUGUGGGUAGCAAACAGGAUUAGAUACCCUGGUAGUCCACACCGUAAACGAUGAUUACUAGGUGUUGGAGGAUUGACCCCUUCAGUGCCGCAGUUAACACAAUAAGUAAUCCACCUGGGGAGUACGACCGCAAGGUUGAAACUCAAAGGAAUUGACGGGGGCCCGCACAAGCAGUGGAGUAUGUGGUUUAAUUCGACGCAACGCGAAGAACCUUACCAAGUCUUGACAUCCCUUGACGAACAUAGAAAUAUGUUUUCUCUUCGGAGCAAGGAGACAGGUGGUGCAUGGUUGUCGUCAGCUCGUGUCGUGAGAUGUUGGGUUAAGUCCCGCAACGAGCGCAACCCUUAUGGUCAGUUACUACGUAAGAGGACUCUGGCCAGACUGCCGUUGACAAAACGGAGGAAGGUGGGGAUGACGUCAAAUCAUCAUGCCCUUUAUGACUUGGGCUACACACGUACUACAAUGGCGUUAAACAAAGAGAAGCAAGACCGCGAGGUGGAGCAAAACUCAGAAACAACGUCCCAGUUCGGACUGCAGGCUGCAACUCGCCUGCACGAAGUCGGAAUUGCUAGUAAUCGUGGAUCAGCAUGCCACGGUGAAUACGUUCCCGGGCCUU